AGGACGAACGCUGGCGGCGUGCUUAACACAUGCAAGUGGAGCGACGAACCGGGGCUUGCCCCGGGGCAGAGCCGCGAACGGGUGAGUAACACGUGGGUUACCUGCCUCAAUGACCGGGACAACCCGAGGAAACUCGGGCUAAUACCGGAUGUGCCCGCAAGGGGAAAGGAAGCUUCGGCCUCCGCAUUGAGAUGGGCCCGCGGCCCAUUAGCUUGUUGGUGAGGUAACGGCUCACCAAGGCUUCGAUGGGUAGCUGGUCUGAGAGGACGAUCAGCCACACUGGGACUGAGACACGGCCCAGACUCCUACGGGAGGCAGCAGUGGGGAAUCUUGCGCAAUGCGCGAAAGCGUGACGCAGCAACGCCGCGUGGGGGAAGAAGGCUUUCGGGUUGUAAACUGCUUUUCUGUGAGACGAGAACGGACGGUAUCACAGGAAUCAGCCCCGGCUAACUACGUGCCAGCAGCCGC
rnacentral:rRNA from 1 species